CCUGGCUCAGAUUGAACGCUGGCGGCAUGCCUAACACAUGCAAGUCGAACGGCAGCACGGUCUAGUUUACUAGAUUGGUGGCGAGUGGCGGACGGGUGAGUAAUGCGCAGGAAUAUGCCUUAAAGUGGGGGACAACUUGGGGAAACUCAAGCUAAUACCGCGUAAGCUCUUAGGAGGAAAGCUGGGGACCUUCGGGCCUGGCGCUUUAAGAUUAGCCU
rnacentral:rRNA from 1 species